GAUGAACGCUAGCUACAGGCUUAACACAUGCAAGUCGAGGGACCGGCGCACGGGUGAGUAACACGUAUCCCACCUGCCCUUUACUCGGGGAUAGCCUUUCGAAAGAAAGAUUAAUACCCGAUGUAAAGGAUGGGGAUGCGUUGCAUUAGGUUGUUGGUGAGGGAACGGCUCACGAAGCCUUCGAUGGAUAGGGGUACGGAGAGUAGGGCCCCCCACAUUGGAACUGGGACACGGUCCAAACUCCAACGGGAGGCAGCAGUGAGGAAGAUUGGUCAAUGGGCGUUAGCCUGAACCAGCCAAGUAGCGAUAAGGAUGAAGGCUUAUGGGUCUUAAACUUCUUUUAUAUAAGAAUAUGUAUUAUAUGAAUAAGGAUCGGCUAACUCCGUGCCAGCCGCCGCGGUAAUAC
rnacentral:rRNA from 1 species